rnacentral:rRNA from 1 species
CUAGCUGUAAACGAUGGAUACUAGGCGUUGAGAGUAUCGACCCUCUCAGUGUCGUAGAUAACGCGUUAAGUAUCCCGCCUGGGGAGUACGCGCGCAAGCGUGAAACUCAAAGGAAUUGACGGGGGCCCGCACAAGCGGUGGAGUAUGUGGUUUAAUUCGAUGCAACGCGAAGAACCUUACCAGGGCUUGACAUGUCCGGAACCCUGCCCAAAGGCGGGGGUGCCUACGGGAACCGGAACACAGGUGGUGC